AGUCGAGGGUCCGGGCAUGGAUAAUAAUCGGGUAUAAGGCAGACACCGAAGGCGCGGGAUAGCAUUUAAGAAAGUAUCGGUAGGGGAGCAUACUCACAGCGUUGAAUGGUGUACGUAAGUUAUCCUGGAGCGGUGAGUAAAGCAAAUGUAGGAAUAAGUAACGAUAAGGAGGGUUAGAUUCCCUCCCGCUGUAAGACCAAGGUUUCCCGGGCAAUGCCAAUCAGCCCGGGGUCAGUCGGGUCCUAAGUCUAAGCCGAACGGCGAUGGCGAUGGCAGAGACGGUUAAUAUUCCGUCACUGCCGCAUGGGGCGACGUGGAGACGGAGCAGUGAAACCACCGCGGGGCGACGGAAGUCCCCGUUGAAGAGUGUAGGCGUUGAGGAUGGCAGGCAAAUCCACCGUCCGAGCUGAACUUGAGAGUAUGGAGUCUUCUUCGGAAGAAUCCAAUAGUGUGGGUAAUCAUACUCCCGAGAAAAUCCGCUAAGCUUAACCCAUGCGGCACCCGUACCGCAAACGGACACACGUGGUCGGGUAGAACAUACUGAGGCGUUGAGAGAUUCAUGGUUAAGGAACUAGGCAAAUUGACCCUGUAACUUCGGGAUAAAGGGUCCUCGUGAAUAGCGAGGCGCAGAGAAUAGGUCCAGGCAACUGUUUAACAAAAACACAGGGCUGUGCAAACUCGAAAGAUGACGUAUACAGCCUGACACCUGCCCGGUGCCGGAAGGUUAAGAGGAGAUGUCACUCGCAAGAGGAAGCAUUGAAUUGAAGCCCCGGUAAACGGCGGCCGUAACCAUAACGGUCCUAAGGUAGCGAAAUUCCUUGUCGGGUAAGUUCCGACCUGCACGAAUGGUGUAAUGAUCCGGACGCUGUCUCAACCAUGAGCUCAGUGAAAUUGUAGUAUCGGUGAAGAUGCCGAUUACCCGCGAUGGGACGAAAAGACCCCGUGAACCUUUACUACAGCUUAGCAUUGACCUUGGUCAUCCGAUGUGUAGGAUAGGCCGGAGGCUUCGAAGCGGGAGCGCCAGCUUUCGUGGAGCCAUCCUUGAAAUACGGCCCUUUGGCUGUCUGAGGUCUAACGCGCGAUGCGCGGACACUGCUUGGUGGGUAGUUUGACUGGGGUGGUCGCCUCCAAAAGCGUAACGGAGGCUUCCAAAGGUGCCCUCGGGUCGAUUGGUAACCGACCUCAAAGAGUGCAAUGGCAUAAGGGCGCUUGACUGGGAGGCAGACAUGCCGAGCAGGCAGGAAACUGGGGCAUAGUGAUCCGGCGGAUGUGUAUGGAAACUCCGUCGCUCAAAGGACAAAAGGUACUCCGGGGAUAACAGGCUGAUCCCCCCCAAGAGCUCAUAUCGACGGGGUGGUUUGGCACCUCGAUGUCGGCUCGUCACAUCCUGGGGCUGGAGAAGGUCCCAAGGGUUGGGCUGUUCGCCCAUUAAAGUGGCACGCGAGCUGGGUUCAGAACGUCGUGAGACAGUUCGGUCUCUAUCUAUCGUGGGCGUGGGAGUUUUGCGUGGUGCCGUCACUAGUACGAGAGGACCGUGAUGGACAGACCUCCGGUUUACCAGUUGUGCCGCCAGGCGCACCGCUGGGUAUCUGAGUCUGGAUUGGAUAAGCGCUGAAAGCAUCUAAGUGCGAAGCCAGCCGCAAGAUGAGAACUCCAUUGAGGGUCGUCAGAGACGAUGACGUUGAUAGGAUGCAGGUGUAAAGACAGCGAUGUCAAAGCCGAGCAUUACUAAUUGCCC
rnacentral:rRNA from 1 species